AUUGGGUCCCAUUGGGUGACAUUGGGUCGUGUUGGGUCCCAUUGGGUCCCGUUGGGUCCCAUUGGGUGGUGUUGUGUCCCAUUGGAUCCCAUUGGGUCCCAUUGGGUGACAUUGGGUCCUAUUGGGUCCCAUUCAGUCCCAAUGGGUCCCAUUGGGUCCUAUUUGGUCUCCCUAUGGGGUCUCAAUGCGUCCCUAUGGGGUCCAAAUGCGUCCCUAUGGGGUCCCAAUGGGGUCCCUAUGGGGUCUCAAUGCGUCCCUAUGGGGUCCAAAUGCGUCCCUAUGGGGUCCCAAUGGGGUCCCUAUGGGGUCUCAAUGCGUCCCUAUGGGGUCCCAACUCUCCCUAUGGGAUCCCUAUGGGGUCUCAUUGUGUCCCCAUGUAUCCCUAUGGGGUCCUUAUGGGGUCCCAAUGCGUCCCAAUGCAUCCCUAUGGGGUCCCAAUGCAUCCCAAUGGGGUCCCAAUGGGGUCCCUAUGGGGUCUCCGUGCGUCCCUAUGGGGUCUCAAUCUGUCCCUACGUGUCCCUAUGGGGUCUCAUUGUGUCCCUAUGGGUCCCUAUGGGGUCCCAAUGUGUCCCAAUGCGUCCCUAUGGGGUCCCUAUGGGUCCCUAUGGGGUCCCUAUGGUGUCCCUAUGGGGUCCCAAUGCGUCCCUAUGGGGUCUCAAUGUGUCCCAAUGGGGUCUCAAUGCAUCCCUAUGGGGUCUCUAUGCGUCCCUAUGGGUCCCUAUGGGGUCCCCAUGCAUCCCUAUGGGGUCCCUAUGGGGUCUCCAUGUGUCCCUAUGGGGUCCCAAUGCAUCCCUAUGGGGUCCCAAUGGGGUCCCUAUGGGGUCCCUAUGGGGUUUCCAUGCAUCCCUAUGGGGUCCCAAUGCAUCCCUAUGGGGUCCCAAUGCAUCCCAAUGGGGUCCCUAUGGGGUCCCUAUGGGGUCUCCAUGCGUCCCUAUGGGGUCCCUAUGGGGUCCCUAUGGGGUCCCUAUGGGGUUUCCAUGCAUCCCUAUGGGGUCCCAAUGCAUCCCUAUGGGGUCCCAAUGGGGUCCCUAUGGGGUCUCCAUGCGUCCCUAUGGGUCCCUAUGGGGUCCCUAUGGGGUCCCUAUGGGGUCUCAUUGUGUCCCAAUGCAUCCCUAUGGGGUCCCAAUGGGGUCCCUAUGGGGUCUCCAUGUGUCCCUAUGGGGUCCCAAUGCAUCCCUAUGGGGUCCCAAUGGGGUCCCUAUGGGGUCUCAUUGUGUCCCUAUGGGUCCCUAUGGGGUCCCUAUGGGGUCCUUAUGGGGUCUCCAUGCGUCCCUAUGGGGUCCCUAUGGGGUCUCCAUGCGUCCCUAUGGGGUCCCAAUGCAUCCCUAUGGGGUCCCAAUGGGGUCCCUAUGGGGUCCCUAUGGGGUUUCCAUGCAUCCCUAUGGGGUCCCAAUGCAUCCCAAUGGGGUCCCUAUGGGGUCCCUAUGGGGUCUCCAUGCGUCCCUAUGGGGUCCCUAUGGGGUCCCUAUGGGGUCCCUAUGGGGUCUCCAUGCGUCCCUAUGGGUCCCUAUGGGGUCCUAUGGGGUCCCUAUGGGGUCUCCAUCCGUCCCUAUGGGGUCCCUAUGGGGUCCCUAUGGGGUCUCCAUGCGUCCCUAUGGGGUCCCUAUGGGGUCCCUAUGGGGUCCCUCCGCCCCACAGCGCUUCCCCCGGAGCUGCUGCCGCUGUUGGCCGCCAUGUUGGACCCGGACCCACAGCGGCGCCCCACAGCGGAGGCUCUGCUGCAGUCGGCCCCUAUGCGGCGUGUGGGGCGAUGGCGGCCGCUCCUCCGCCUCCUGGAUGUGGGGCUGCGCCGGGGGGCGGAGCUGCUGCAGCCCCACAGCCUUCCGCCCCACUGCCUCCACCCCACAACACCGUGGGUCGCCACCAAGCACCCCCGAGGGCAGCCCCACAGCUAUGGGGCGCCUGCGCCGCACUCUCACCUUCGAGGAGGAUUCAGAGCCCCAUAGCGCCGCCCCAUAGCGCCGCCCCAUAGCGGGAGCGCUGAUUGGCUGACGGGAUGGAAACGACGCUUCAUGAUUGGCCGAUGGGACAGGACUGAGUUCUGAUUAGCUGAAGUAAUGAAAUCAACGACGCUGAUUGGCCAAAGGAAUGGCGCGGUGCUUCUGAUUGGCCGGUGGGACGGCGCUGCGUUCCGAUUGGCCAAAGGAAUGGGAUCAACGCUUCCGAUUGGUCGAAGGGUGGUGGUUGGAACCGCCCACUAAAGCGCUGCGCGGCAACGGAGCGAGGGGGCGUGGCCAAAGCUAAGCCCCGCCCCCUUUCACCCCCCCCCCCCCCCCCCCCCCCCCCCCCCGUUGCAAUCCCAUUGGCGGACAUCAAAGUGGCAGCACCAUAUAUGGGCGUGGGCUGCGCGUGGUCUAUUUGCAUAGCCACGCCCAGCUCCCCCCGGCGAUUUGAAUAAAGCUUUCAUAUUCAUGAGCUUCGCCCCCU
ensembl:lncRNA